rnacentral:rRNA from 1 species
AGCAGCCGCGGUAAUUCCAGCUCCAAUAGCGUAUAUUAAAGUUGUUGCAGUUAAAAAGCUCGUAGUUGAAUUUCGGGAUCAAUAUGUUGGUCGUGCCAUUGGUACGCACUGGCAUUAUUGGUUUCUACCUUCUGAAGAACUUCGAUGUCAUUAAUUUGGUGUCUUGGGGAAUCAGGACUGUUACUUUGAAAAAAUUAGAGUGUUUAAAGCAAGCUCGCGCUUGAAUACAUUAGCAUGGAAUAAUGAAAUAGGACGUUUGAUUCUAUUUUGUUGGUUUCUAGGAUUGACGUAAUGAUUAAUAGGGAUAGUUGGGGGCAUUAGUAUUCAAUUGUCAGAGGUGAAAUUCUUGGAUUUAUUGAAGACUAACUACUGCGAAAGCAUUUGCCAAGGAUGUUUUCAUUAAUCAAGAACGAAAGUUAGGGGAUCGAAGACGAUCAGAUACCGUCGUAGUCUUAACCAUAAACUAUGCCGACUAGGGAUCGGAUGAUGUUAAUUUUUUAAUGACUCAUUCGGCGCCUUACG